UUCUUUUUGAUCAAAGAAGAGAAGUGGGAAACUUACCACCCUGUUAGAAGCCAGGAGGGGCCUUAUGACAGAGGAGUAUGAAAAGACAUCAUUUAAACAGUUUAAGCAGAUGCCCCUUGCUCUCCACCUCACCUAUCUGCUUUGCUCUUUGCCACUUGGAGGUAGCAACUCUGUGCACCUGUCUCAGAAAGCCUUGGUUUAGCCAGUGAGGGGAGAGGCUUUCCAGAUAAACAGUGAAAUAUGCCUCUUAGUUAUUGUGCUUUCCCCUGCCCAUUCCUGUUCACCCAUUUUUCCCUCCAUAUUCUCACCUGGAUAUGUUUUCACAACAUUAAGACCUUAGCCAUACAUGCACACACACGUGUGCCCACUUACACACACAGAGUAAUGGAAACAGUUUAUUAUAUCAUCCGUGACUUUUGCUUUUGUGGGAAGUUAGUUUCUAAUCCUCAUUUUUCCUUAGUGAUUGUUUUUCCAAUUAGUUGAACGAAUGAUGAUAUUGCUUGCUUCUUCCAGUGUUGCCUAUAAAGAACACCGGUUACUCAUUUAGGGAAAUUGCUUGAUCAAUGUGAUGCAGGGCUAUUAUAACUUUUUUCUGCUGAGGGGAGAAAAGAAUGAUAUGCCAGAUUGAAACAACUGGAAAAACAGAUUGCUGAAUUAGAAGUGAAGAUAUAAUUAGAUGCACCCUCCAAUAAUUGGUUAGAAUUGGAAGCAUUUAGGUCUGUACAUAAUCAAAUAUUGCCUGGAAGUGUUACAGCAUCCUUAUUUUAUGCUAAAUAGAUUUUUAUGGAAUGGCAAUAAAGGAGGAAAUCUGCCUGCUAAUUUGAUUAAAAACACGAUGGAUCGCUGUUAUUUCAGCUGCGAAGACUCCAAAUAGGAGGAGGCUGAUUAGGAAGGAAAAGAAAAAAUUAAUUUCAUAUUUAAGAUCUAUUAUCAAACAUUGCUUAUUUUUAAAGUGGAAUUAUUCAUAACAAUUGAAGAUGCAUUUUCAUAAUUGCUCAGAAAAGAAUGAAUAUAUUCCUAGCUUAUCUUUAAAAUGACAAAAAAAGAUAUAAAGAAAUAAUAGUACUCUGCCAUCAGUAUAGAUAGGAGAGAAGGUAGUUUAUUAACCACAUAAGCCCAUUUCACAGAAAAUACAUCAGAAAUUAAGAGAGUUACACUUGUGAAGGCCAUCCCCAAACACAGAUCGGUAGAGUCUCAUAACUUAAGGACCAAAUCCAUCCUCUGCUUAGGCAUUCAUAAUGUCUUUAUUAUGUCACAGCUGUUAAUGAACACAUCUUUUUUGCCUUCUUAUUCAUCCACUAAACGGAUAUUUACUGAACACUACUGUGUGGCAGGCAGUUUCAGGCACUGGGGAUACAAUAGAGAACGUGAAAGCAAAAUGUCCGUCAAGGAUCUUGCAAUUUGAAAGAAGACAAUGUAAAAAAUAAAUCAAUACAGUAUAAUAGUGGGCUGUGUUAAAUGCUAAGGAAGGUAAAUACAUAGAAAAAUGUGAAGAGUGGGAGUGGAUUUACAUUAUAAAGGUGGUGGUCAAAGAAGACCUCACUGAGAGAGUUUUGAGUGAAGAUCUGAAAUGAAGUGAAGGAGCUGCCCUUGUGGCUACUGAAGAAAGCCUUUAGGUAGAUGUGCAAAGGCCCUGAGGCAGGCAUGUGCCUGGCUGGUGGGAGCAACAGGGAGAAAGCUUGUGCUGAAAGAGCACAUCAGAGAAAUAGCAAGGAUGGGAUGGGGGGCUGCCUAUUCUGUUAAGCCUUGUAGGUCUCAAGGUCACAGUAAGGAUUUGAUUUCUAAUCAGAGUGACAGAGUGAUUUUGAGCAAAAGAGAAACAAUCUGCCUAUUUCCUUACAUGUGAGCUUCUGAAUAGCCAGGCUGUUGUGGACCACGCAGCUUGUACCUUUCUCUGGGGCCUAACAUGGUAUGUCUUACAUGAGAUUCAGAUAUGUGUUUUAAGUAAAUUAUAGUUCCAAAGACAAUUCCAAAUUCCUUUUUCUCUUGUAUCCUGUCACCCUACUAGUUCAUAUACAACUCAGGAACCUUUUAAUCUACUUUAUUAUUUAGUGUGCAUUUAACACUGGAAAGGAUUUACUAUCUGUGUUGAUCACCUGUGUGGCUCUAAUUUAAACACAGCAAAUUUGGAAACUGCUAAGGCAAGUAUGAGUGGUCAUAUCUUUAUAAUCCAGUUUAAAUGCCUACACUUCUUAAGAAUGGGCUAAUCUGAGGAUAGUAAAAAAGAUUCUCUUGAUACAGUAUGCAUAUGGUAAGUAUUCUUUACUUUUUCUUCCUUGGAACUACUCUAAAGAGGAAGAAAUUACUUCUGGAGCCACUCUGUUGCAGAAGAAAGCCAAGAGAGUAUCUCUAAAUGUCUAUUUUAUAUACUUCCUCAUAUUUUCAAUGUUACCAUAAAACAGCAUUACUACUUGUGAAAGUUUUGUUUUAUUAUAAAAUAAUAAAGUGAAUUUUAAAUUUAUUUCAAAGGAUACAUCCAGGAGCCAGUUAAAUAUGCUCAUGGGUCUGCUCCAGCCAUGGUUUUAUUGCUGUUAAUUGACAAGCCCUAUUGUACAACAGUAAAUUUGGAACUGAAAAUACUCUAUCUUUGGAUAGCUGUAAUUUAAUCAAGCUUGCUUUAGCUCUUUUAUUAUUUCAUAAUGAAAUAUAAAAUAUCUUACAAGCAAAUGCCUCUCUUCCAGAAAUUAAAUAGGAAAGAAUUCACAAGCCAAAGAGUAGCAAUCAGUACAAACACAAUUACCUUCUCACAUAGGAGAUAAAGCAACUCUCCUUUUUUUUUUUCUUAUCCAAUAUCAGAGCAGCACAGUCUUUUCUCCCAACUUGUACUAGUAUCUCUUCUCAUCUUUGUACUAAAGCAAAACAAUAGGAUAAGCAACUGCAGGAUAUAGAAAUACUAAAGAUAUUGAUGUCUUUUCUUAGAAAAACUAAGUUAUAGGAGCCAUAUAAUGAGUCUUAAACCUAAAGACACGAGUCUUCUUAUAUCUGAAAGCAAUAUGAACAUUUACCACUAGCAGCACCCCAAGUGAAAGUGUCUCCUCUCUCCAAUCUUUUUGUACUAAUUGAAGUGAUGAAGACACCAGGGGGUUGGUCAAACAGUCAUUUCAUACUAAAUGCUAAAGCCUCACUUGAAGAUGGCUAGCUAUGAUGGAUCCAGGCUUACAUAACUAAUCUGUAGGGAUGCUUUGAAGAUAGCACAGCCAUGCUAGAUAAAAGAUAUUCUGUGGCUGAGAUAUAGUUAAUAUUUUAGGGGGAAAAAAGAACAUUUGAUAUGAUUUCACAUCAGAGAUAAAGGUAAAAGAACCAUUGAAUAUGGGAUAAAGAGCACCCAAAGGGAAAAUUAGUUUUAGAGACAACUAUAAAGAGAAACCUUCAAAAGAAACAUUUAUGUUG
rnacentral:lncRNA from 1 species